rnacentral:snRNA from 1 species
UAGAAUACCUGGCAGGGGAGAUAGCAUGAUCAAAAGGUGGUUUUCCCAGGGCAAGGCUUAUUUAUCCAUUGCACUCCAGAUGUGCUGACCCCUGCAAUUUCCCCAAAUGUGGAAACUGGACUGCAUAAUUUGUGGUGGGGGGGACUCCAUUCGCGCUCUCCACU